UCCCAUUCUUCUUUGAAGCAGGGGUGCAU
rnacentral:piRNA from 1 species